rnacentral:rRNA from 1 species
UACAGAGGGUGCAAGCGUUAAUCGGAAUUACUGGGCGUAAAGCGUGCGCAGACGGUUGCGUAAGUCAGAUGUGAAAGCCCCGGGCUUAACCUGGGAAUGGCCGUUGAAACUGGCGAACUGGAGUGUGGCAGAGGGGGGUGGAAUUCCGCGUGUAGCAGUGAAAUGCGUAGAGAUGCGGAGGAACACCGAUGGCGAAGGCAGCCCCCUGGGCUGACACUGACGCUCAGGCACGAAAGCGUGGGGAGCAAACAGG